rnacentral:rRNA from 1 species
AUUCGGAUUGUAGGCUGAAACUCGCCUACAUGAAGCUGGAGUUACUAGUAAUCGCAGAUCAGAAUGCUGCGGUGAAUGCGUUCCCGGGUCUUGUACACACCGCCCGUCACACCACGGAAGUUGGGGGCGCCCGAAGCCACUUAGCUAACCCUUUUGGGAAGCGAGUGUCGAAGGUGAAAUCAAUAACUGGGGCGAAGUCGUAACAAGGUAAC